rnacentral:rRNA from 1 species
CCUACGGGAGGCAGCAGUGGGGAAUAUUGCACAAUGGGGGAAACCCUGAUGCAGCGACGCCGCGUGAGUGAAGAAGUAUUUCGGUAUGUAAAGCUCUAUCAGCAGGGAAGAAAAUGACGGUACCUGAUUAAGAAGCCCCGGCUAACUACGGGCCAGCAGCCGCGGGAAUACGGAGGGGGCAAGCGUUAUCCGGAUUUACUGGGUGUAAAGGGAGCGUAGAGGGAAGCACAAGUCUGGAGUGAAAUGCCGGGGCUUAACCCCGGAACUGCUUUGGAAACUGUGCAGCUAGAGUGCAGGAGAGGUAAGUGGAAUUCCUAGUGUAGCGGUGAAAUGCGUAGAUAUUAGGAGGAACACCAGUGGCGAAGGCGGCUUACUGGACUGUAACUGACGUUGAGGCUCGAAAGCGUGGGGAGCAAACAGGAUUAGAUACCCGAGUAGUC